GUGAGGAAUAUUGGGCAAUGGGCGAAAGCCUGACCCAGCCACGCCGCGUGAGUGAUGAAGGCCUUCGGGUUGUAAAGCUCUGUGGGGAGGGAAGAAAAAGCGCAGGAGUAACUGCCUGUGUGUUGACGGUACCUCCUUAGCAAGCACCGGCUAACUCUGUGCCAGCAGCCGCGGUAAUACAGAGGGUGCAAACGUUGCUCGGAAUUACUGGGCGUAAAGCGCGUGUAAGCUGACAUGCAAGUCGGGUGUGAAAUCCCAGGGCUCAACCUUGGAACUGCACUCGAAACUGCACGUCUUGAGUACUGGAGAGGGAAGCGGAAUUCCGGGUGUAGAGGUGAAAUUCGUAGAUAUCCGGAGGAACACCAGUGGCGAAGGCGGCUUCCUGGACAGUAACUGACGCUGAGACGCGAAAGCGUGGGGAGCAAACAGGAUUAGAUACCCGGGUAGUCC
rnacentral:rRNA from 1 species